rnacentral:rRNA from 1 species
CAGCCGCCGCGGUAAUACAGAGGGUGCGAGCGUUAAUCGGAUUUACUGGGCGUAAAGCGUGCGUAGGCGGCUUUUUAAGUCGGAUGUGAAAUCCCUGAGCUUAACUUAGGAAUUGCAUUCGAUACUGGGAAGCUAGAGUAUGGGAGAGGAUGGUAGAAUUCCAGGUGUAGCGGUGAAAUGCGUAGAGAUCGGGAGGAACAUCAGUGGCGAAGGCGGCCAUCUGGGACAACACUGACGCUGAGGCACGAAAGCGUGGGGAGCAAACAGGAUUAGAUACCCCGGUAGUCCCUGUCUCUUAUAC